GAAGUGCGAGAAGUGUCAUGACUUGCAGAUUCCCGAGAGCUGACAAGUUUCUGAAUGCAAAUGGCGGCCGCUUCAAAUCGGCCAUGUAUUGCAGAGUGUUGUUGUUCCUACUCUUCAUCCCUUCGAAUCCAUUUUCAUUUCCUCGAUGAUGGAUUCGAUAUAUAUGGGAAUCUGCACUUGCGAGAAGAACAACAUUCGCGCGAGUGUGAAAUCAGGAGUACUAGAGAACAGAUACAUCCGUGUGUGUUCUCUAGUAACUUCGAAAAAACAAGGAGAGAGAUCCUCUCUCUUUUGUUCAAUAAGAAGUUCCAGACUCCAUAUAUUUAGACAGCCACCUCUGCAAUGCAGGAGAACCCGCUGAACUUAA
rnacentral:misc_RNA from 1 species